rnacentral:tRNA from 1 species
GGUGGCGUGGCAGAGCGGCCUAAUGCACUCGCCUUGAAAGCGAGAGUCCUUAACGGGACCGCAGGUUCAAAUCCUGUCGCCACCG